rnacentral:rRNA from 1 species
UACGUAGGAUGCAAGCGUUGUCCGGAAUUAUUGGGCGUAAAGAGCGCGCAGGCGGUCAUUCAAGUCAGAUGUGAAAUAUCCGGGCUUAACCUGGAGGGGUCAUUUGAAACUGGGUGACUAGAGUACAGCAGAGGAUAGCGGAAUUCCCGGUGUAGUGGUGAAAUGCGUAGAUAUCGGGAGGAACACCAGUGGCGAAGGCGGCUAUCUGGGCUGAAACUGACGCUGAGGCGCGAAGGCUAGGGGAGCAAACAGG